AUUGAACGCUGGCGGCAUGCCUUACACAUGCAAGUCGAACGGUAACGCGGGGCAACCUGGCGACGAGUGGCGAACGGGUGAGUAACACAUCGGAACGUGCCCAGUAGUGGGGGAUAGCCCGGCGAAAGCCGGAUUAAUACCGCAUACGACCUAAGGGUGAAAGCAGGGGAUCGCAAGACCUUGCGCUAUUGGAGCGGCCGAUGUCAGAUUAGGUAGUUGGUGGGGUAAAAGCCUACCAAGCCGACGAUCUGUAGCUGGUCUGAGAGGACGACCAGCCACACUGGGACUGAGACACGGCCCAGACUCCUACGGGAGGCAGCAGUGGGGAAUUUUGGACAAUGGGCGCAAGCCUGAUCCAGCCAUGCCGCGUGCGGGAAGAAGGCCU
rnacentral:rRNA from 1 species